UCGAGCGAGUCUGCCUUGAAGAUCGGAGUGCUUGCACUCUGUGAAACAAGAUACAGGCUAGCGGCGGACGGGUGAGUAACACGUGGGUAACCUGCCCAAGAGAUCGGGAUAACACCUGGAAACAGAUGCUAAUACCGGAUAACAACAGAUGAUGCCUAUCAACUGUUUAAAAGAUGGUUCUGCUAUCACUCUUGGAUGGACCUGCGGUGCAUUAGCUAGUUGGUAGGGUAACGGCCUACCAAGGCGAUGAUGCAUAGCCGAGUUGAGAGACUGAUCGGCCACAUUGGGACUGAGACACGGCCCAAACUCCUACGGGAGGCAGCAGUAGGGAAUCUUCCACAAUGGACGCAAGUCUGAUGGAGCAACGCCGCGUGAGUGAAGAAGGGUUUCGGCUCGUAAAGCUCUGUUGUUGGUGAAGAAGGACAGGGGUAGUAACUGACCUUUGUUUGACGGUAAUCAAUUAGAAAGUCACGGCUAACUACGUGCCAGCAGCCGCGGUAAUACGUAGGUGGCAAGCGUUGUCCGGAUUUAUUGGGCGUAAAGCGAGUGCAGGCGGCUCGAUAAGUCUGAUGUGAAAGCCUUCGGCUCAACCGGAAAAUUGCAUCAGAAACUGUCGAGCUUGAGUACAGAAGAGGAGAGUGGAACUCCAUGUGUAGCGGUGAAAUGCGUAGAUAUAUGGAAGAACACCGGUGGCGAAGGCGGCUCUCUGGUCUGUUACUGACGCUGAGGCUCGAAAGCAUGGGUAGCG
rnacentral:rRNA from 1 species